rnacentral:lncRNA from 1 species
CUGUUCACAUCUUUUUUCUUCUACAGAGUGCUCGGUUUUUAUCUUUUGCCUCUUUUUCUAUUGUCUUCAUUUACCUAUUUUUAAAGACUUCCUCGUAUAUUAUUCAUAAAAACUUAAUUGCCUAAUAUAUUGCCUGAAGUCCCACCUACUUGGGAGGCUGAGGUGGGAGGAUCACUUGAGCCCAGGAGGUACAAUGCAAGUACUUCCUCUGAAGACAGGUUCAUCUACUGAAAUCUUGAUUGUGUUUUCCUCUGUAUGGGCC